GUGGGGAAUAUUGGACAAUGGGCGAAAGCCUGAUCCAGCCAUGCCGCGUGUGUGAAGAAGGUCUUCGGAUUGUAAAGCACUUUAAGUUGGGAGGAAGGGCAGUAAGUUAAUACCUUGCUGUUUUGACGUUACCGACAGAAUAAGCACCGGCUAACUUCGUGCCAGCAGCCGCGGUAAUACGAAGGGUGCAAGCGUUAAUCGGAAUUACUGGGCGUAAAGCGCGCGUAGGUGGUUUUGUAAGUUGUAGGUGAAAUCCCCGGGCUCAACCUGGGAACUGCCUCCAAAACUGCAUGACUAGAGUACGGUAGAGGGUAGUGGAAUUUCCUGUGUAGCGGUGAAAUGUGUAGAUAUAGGAAGGAACACCAGUGGCGAAGGCGACUACCUGGACUGAUACUGACACUGAGGUGCGAAAGCGUGGGGAGCAAACAGGAUUAGAUACCCCGGUAGUCC
rnacentral:rRNA from 1 species